GUGGCCGUGAUGAUUGGCGCAGGGGUACUGACCUCAGCUAGAUCAUGGGAGCUGAGUGUGAGCUGUCUUGUGCUCCAGCACGGCUGGCGUGUGGCUGGCUGUCUGGGGAGCGGCUUACAUGACAACUCUGCCUGACACUGAGCCAC